rnacentral:pre_miRNA from 1 species
UUGUUCUCAAAACGGGUGUGCAUGCAGAUCAUGGUGUAAUAUAGCUCAUGAGAUCAUGCCACAUCUGUCUUGAAAGCCA